rnacentral:lncRNA from 1 species
UUUUAACAAUAACUCUUUCUUAAAAGUUCUUACAAUAAUAGACCCGGAAGUACUUUUGCAGCAACAAAGCCUCCUUAUGCUAGAUCGACAAUAUAGUUAUUUAAUGUUUAGAAGUAGGCUAAGUUCACAAUAAUAAUAAUAAUAAUUAUUAUUAUUAUUAAGACAAUAACCGUAUACGUUUUGUUUUUAAAGCGGCUUGUUUUAUUUAUACAAUCAAAAAACAACAAUAAUCGUUGAAUAAUGAAUAGGCUUUUAGGGGUUUUCAACUAAAAUGUAUUAUGGAAAACGAUCCCGAUCGAGAAUGCUGGACACAAUAAGAAGUCAGCUGAGCGAUGAGGCUCGCCUAGGGUAGGAGUCGUGAAUCUCGCGACACUACAGCUCCGAUUAUAUUGCAGUACAAUGGUACCAUAUCUCCUCGGCUGGCAAAUAAUUAAACUUGUACUAGAAUUCAUCUUGAUUUGAAGGCUUAGUGGCUUCAAAUCGUGGUAAUGGAGAAAUGGAGAUGUCACGUGCGCACAAAACUCAUACAGCGAGACAGCUCACAGAAGGAUCCAUAUGCUGGCAUCUUCAGAAGUUUGUUUCAGCUGCAAGAUAAUUUUGAAAUUCGUCGAGAAAUUUGGGAAGAUCUGCAGAGCCAAAGUUUAGAACAAGAUGGAAUAACAUUUGUGGAACUUCACCUCUGGUUAAGAGAGAGUGAACACCUGUCUAAAAAGUUGUCUCAGACCGUCUCUGACCUGACCAGUGUUUUGUAUUUCAAAGAGGCUGAGCUACAGUACUGGCAGUCUCAGGUAGCCCGUUUCCGUCGGGAGGCUCUGAGCCUGGCUGGAGGCAGCAACUCGCUGAAGGCCACCCUGAACCACCAGGAGUUCACCCUUGAGAGGCAGGCCAAGGAGCUGGCCGCCCUGCAGAAGGAGCACAUGCGCCUGCGGGAGGGGAUGGUGGAGGCCUGGAAGGAGAAAGGGGACCUCCUCCAGAGAUGGAUGGAGGAGAAGAAAGAGGAGGCGGCAAGGGUUAAUAAGUACAAUGACGCACAGGAAAGGUGGCGUCGGUUGGCCAGACGGCUGAAGAAACAACUUCGGGGAGAAACGGUCAAACCUUCGGAGCAGACGGAGAUUGACGUGACGAGUGGCGAAAAAGAAGCAGCAUUCAAACUAGAAUGAGUGACAGCAUUUAUUUUGUAACUUUUUUUCAUCUGUAACUAAUAUCGCUUAAAUAACUUGUUUUACAUUCGCAGUUUAAUGUGAGCACCAUUCCUAGAAGCACAAUCCGAACUCCACUUAAACAGCAACUAAAUAUGCACCUGAUGCAACUCUCUAUUGACUACAUUUAAUGUUGUUUAGAUGGACCGUUUUUAUUGAAUCAACAUGGGCAGGCAUCACUUGUGCAUCAAGCUUACAAACCGAACUAAUAAUUCAAGAUUAUAUGCACCUCCUGAUGACGUUGUAACAUGUUUGUGUUUGUGUAACCUUAUCGGAUUGGUUUUUAGUCCGAUAAGAUCUUAAAGUGAUUCAUGUUUUUUUUACUUUUUAGUGUGACUGACAAGCCUACAUUAUUAUAUUUUAAAAAGACUCGUGGUAGAUAUGCUAUAUAAAUAUAUUGUGUUAUCAACUUUUUUUUAAAAUAAAGCAAUGUGUAACGUGCG